rnacentral:rRNA from 1 species
UACGGAGGGUGCAAGCGUUGCUCGGAAUUAUUGGGCGUAAAGGGUAGGUAGGUGGUCUCAUUUGUCUGGGGUGAAAGCCUUGGGCUUAACCCAAGAAGUGCCCCGGAAACGGUGAGACUAGAGUACUGGAGAGGUUCGUGGAAUUCCCGGUGUAGCGGUGAAAUGCGUAGAGAUCGGGAGGAACACCAGAGGCGAAGGCGGCGAACUGGACAGUGACUGACACUCAAGUACGAAAGCGUGGGGAGCAAACAGG